rnacentral:lncRNA from 14 species
AGAUCUUGUGAGCAAAACCAGAGGAAUGACAUAAUCUUUAAAGCUGGCUAUGACACUGAACUCAUAAUUCACAUCUUAUUUUUGUCAGCAGCACGUCCAAGACACAAAGGCCAUUCUUGAAAAAUCACAGCUGUGAUAUCUACAAUAACUGAACUACAAGAAAGCUGCAGCAAUCCCUGCAGAAAGUGGUCGAACUCUGUUUUAAAACUGUGCCAGUUCCUUGUCUCAGCUGCUUUGGCUUGAAGGUUGAUCCAGAUUUUCAUGCUGCUCAAGGAGCUCACAGAACCAGCAAAGUUUGUGACGUGUCAGCAUGUCCAACAGAAAACUUUACCUUGUGAGGGAAUACAUGUACCUUGUUUGUUGCUGGAGUAACAGUGUUGGCUGUCUACAAAGAUCUAUCAGGAAUCCUGGCUGGAAUUCCUUACGCCCUGGCUGGGAAGUGUUAAUGCUGGCCACAAAAUACGUGAACACAACAGUGGUCUUCCUAGCUAAAUACCAGUGCUGUUUGGAGCCAGACCAGCAUUGCCGUAUCAGCUGACUCUGAAGAUAAAUUGAUAAGUCAUUUUCAAGCAAGUGUUCCAUUUC